AACAAAUGAAAUCCACGUGAAUAUCUCUUCGCACAGGGCAAAGGUUCGAAGCUAGGGCACGCCGCGCCGUCCUCCUCCUGUUUUCGUUGGCUUCCUUCCUCCUCGCGCCCCUCGCCUCCCCUCGGCCGCGAAUCGUCCAAGAAAGACUAGGGCAGAGCUGAACUCGUCGCCCUGACGCCGUCCUCGCCGCGACAAGUUCUGCAAGCCAAAGGGACGAAGCUAGGGCACGCCGUCCUCGCCGCGCCUCUUCCUUGGAGCUAGGGCACGAAGCUAGGGCGUUCUCUCUCGGAAAACCUCCGACGCGAAGCUAGGACACGCAGCUUGUCCAGAUCCUGCGCCUCACAUCCUCGCUCGACCACAAAAUUGCAUCUCGUGCCCCUCACCGCCUCGCGCGACCACCAACCCCUCUCGAUCAGUUCAACCAUUCAAGAAAUAAAAAGAGCAAUAGCUGAGAAGAAUUCUGUUGUGACAAAAUCUAAGGAUGAUGCAGCUGAUUUAAAAAAGAAAUUGAAAAAGCUUGAUAAAGAAUUGGAAGAGUCAGAGAGAGAAUAUCAGUUAUCUUCUGGGUGUUCAUGCUGGCAAGAGCAGUAGAGAUGAUGAGAAGUGUCUUGAAGAUCAACAAAGGGAUGUCAAAACUGCUGUUGGUGAUGUUGAAUCAGAAUUGAAACAAUUGAAGACUAAAAUUUUCCAUUCUGAAGAUGAACUAAAAGAAAAGAGGGGUCAGCCAUUGGCAUAACGUGGUGAAGCCGCUGCUGUGAAAAAUGAGUUAAAUAAUCAGAAAAAGGAUUUGGAGGCAAUUAGAUUAGCUACAGAAUCAAUUUCAUAUGAAGAAGGCCAGUUGGAAGCCCAACACAAGGUCUACACAGACCUGACAGUCCUCAUAUUAAAUUGCCUCUGUCCUGAAAAUUAACGUGUCCUCGUGUCUCCUCAUCGGAUGAUUAUAACAUUCUCAUGAUGUACACUACAGUUUGGAAAUGUGAUUUAGCUCGUCUAAUUGGUGAGGAGACACAGGACACAUCAUUUUUGGAACAGAGAAUCGCAUCUAAACAGGAUGAGCGCAACAAUGAAGAUAGGGAAGCCGGUGGAUCUGCUCGCGUACCGAGAAAGCAGGUGGCGGCGAGCCGCAGCGAUCAGCGCUGGAGGAGCCCACGGCGCCGAAAGAAACAACGGAAGAGAACAUUAAUUAUUGUAUUAAUAAUAUCUUAAAUAAUAUUGAUUAAAUUAAAUAUUUAAACUGUUAAAAAAAUAAAA